rnacentral:rRNA from 1 species
GACGAACGCUGGCGGCGUGCCUAAUACAUGCAAGUCGAACGCUUCUUUCCUCCCGAGCGCUUGCACUCAAUUGGAAAGAGGAGUGGCGGACGGGUGAGUAACACGCGGGUAACCUACCCAUCAGGGGGGGAUAACACUUGGAAACAGGUGCUAAUACCGCAUAACAGUUUAUGCCGCAUGGCAUAAGAGUGAAAGGCGCUUUCGGGUGUCGCUGAUGGAUGGACCCGCGGUGCAUUAGCUAGUUGGUGAGGUAACGGCUCACCAAGGCCACGAUGCAUAGCCGACCUGAGAGGGUGAUCGGCCACACUGGGACUGAGACACGGCCCAGACUCCUACGGGAGGCAGCAGUAGGGAAUCUUCGGCAAUGGACGAAAGUCUGACCGAGCAACGCCGCGUGAGUGAAGAAGGUUUUCGGAUCGUAAAACUCUGUUGUUAGAGAAGAACAAGGACGUUAGUAACUGAACGUCCCCUGACGGUAUCUAACCAGAAAGCCACGGCUAACUACGUG